UAGUAGAUGCACCCUGACUGAUCCCUCAGCUACCGGCUGGGGAUUUUUUUU
rfam:Lyngbya majuscula 3L genomic scaffold scf46080, whole genome shotgun sequence.